UACGAAGGGUGCAAGCGUUAAUCGGAAUUACUGGGCGUAAAGCGUGCGUAGGCGGUUUCUUAAGUCUGCUGUGAAAGCCCCGGGCUCAACCUGGGAAUGGCGGUGGAUACUGAGGAGCUGGAGUACGGUAGAGGAAGGUGGAAUUCCCGGUGUAGCGGUGAAAUGCGUAGAGAUCGGGAGGAACAUCAGUGGCGAAGGCGGCAUCCUGGCCAUGUACUGACGCUCAGGGGCGAAAGCGUGGGGAGCAAACCAGGG
rnacentral:rRNA from 1 species